GAAUUGCGAUAAGUAAUGUGAAUUGCAGAUUUCCAGUGAAUCAUCGAAUCUUUGAACGCACCUUGCGCUCCUUGGUAUUCCGAGGAGCAUGCCUGUUUGAGUGUCAUCGAAUUCUCAACCAUGAACUUUGAGAUCAUGGCUUGGAGUUGGAAGUUGCUGGCCGGACGGUCAGCUCUUCUUAAACGGAUUAGCGAUCGAGUUGGCUAGUCUUUGACGUACACGGCCUCGGACGUGAUAAUGAUCGUCCUGGCUGGAGCGUCUUUUUUGUAGACUAUGCACACAGAUGGCUUCUAAAUAAGAAUGGUCGAGCGAGCUUAGCUAUUAGGCAGUCUGCUGUUUGUCAAGGCAAGGCAAGGCUGGCGAACACAAGCGCAAGCGCAAGCUUGAAUUAUGGACCAUGAUCAGUGACUUGACCUCAAAUCAGGUAGGACUACCCGCUGAACUUAA
rnacentral:rRNA from 1 species